CGUGUUUAGUCCACCUAUUUAUUCAUUCAUUCAUCUACUCACCCACCCAUCCACCCACCUACCCAUCUAUCCAUCCACUCAUUCACUCAUUCAUUCAUUCAUCCAUCUGUCUACCCAUUCAUCUAUACAUUCAUCCACUCAUCCACUCAUCCAUCCACCAUUGACCCACCCAUCCAUCUAUUCAUCUACCACCUGCCUACCUAUCCAUCCAUCUACCCACUCACUCAUCCAUCUAUCCAUCCAUUACCCACCCAUCCUUCCACCCACCUAUUCACCCAUCCGCCCAUUCAUUCACCCAUCCACUCAUCCAGACAUCCAUCUGUCCACCCAUUCAUCCAUCCAUCCAUUCAUCCAUCCACUCACCUACCCAUCCACUCAUCCAUCAAUCUUCCAUCCAUCCAUCCAUCUAUCCAUCCAUCCAUCCAUCCAUCCAUCCAUCCAUCCAUCCAUCCAUCCAAUAUUUAUGGUGUUCUUGCUAUAAGACAAAAUAAUGAAUCUACCAGGAUGAGGCUAUCAUGCUGAAAAGCAGCCCAUUCACAGCCUAACUAAUCACUUCUGCACCCCACUUGGUUUCAGGGACAUCUUCCUUUUUGACACCCCCCACCUUUCCCCAACCUGUCUCUGUUCUGGGUCUGGGCCAGUCUGUUUAUCCAGUGCCUUACUCACUCUGUGAGUGCCCCUCCAGUGUCACGUGGGAUGCCUAAAGAGGGCUCUGAUAUUAGCUUGCUGUGCCUUGUCAGUUCAAAUCAAGUCACGGCAGCUCAAGCCCACCCCGCAGGCAAGUUCUUGACAGCUCUCCUUGUCAGCUGACCGCUGAAAGGCAGCAGCAGUGAGUGGAAACCAGUUAAUUAGCAGUGAUGACUUCCAGAUUGGGAUUUUUUGUUUAAUGCUUAGUUAACUUCACAGUAAUUGAAUUUAGACUUGGCUUACGGAUACUGGGGUGAAAGGUUCUGGAUGGAGCCCCAGGACUCUCUAGCAGGAGAAUGAAAAAGGCUAUUGUUCCAAGGCUUGUCUGGCCUCUGCUCAUGAACCCCACGAAUAUUUGCAGGCCUGCAAUUUCCCACAGGGAGAUUUGAGGUGCAGGUAAGGGAAACAGAAAUGCUGCAGUUCCUGCCCCGUCAUGAUUGAUGUCAGAUUUGGUGGAAUCUGUAUAUCUGCACAAAGAGGAACGGGCUUCUUUUGAGUGAUUUCUAUGUGCCUGUCACAAGGGUGGGCUCUUCACAUAUAUUCUCUCAUUUCUUCUCACACCAUACUAGUGAGGUCAGUGCUAUUAUUUUCAUUGUUCGGGAGGGUGAUGUUCAGAGGUGUUGAGUAACUAACUGACAUCACACAGUAAGAAGCAGGUCCAGGAUUUGAAGUUGGGUGCUUCUGACUCCUAAAUCAGACUCCCUCAAUUGUUGCUUUGGAAGAAGGCAAAGCUAGAGAACUUUUCUGUCUCUUAUAUGGAAAGUGAUGCUGAGAGUUUUAACUUCAGCAAGGAUUGCUACCAACAGUGAGGAUGGGUCUUGGGUAAUGCUUUUCCUGGCCAGUCCCAUUCUUUCCCUUGUGCAAGAUGGUGUUCAUUCAAUGAAGACAAUGUGCUCAUAUUUCUUGUUUGGAGGUUUUAUAUUCUGAUUGUCAAUAUAUCCAAUGUAUUAAUUAGGAAAUUUUUAGUUGUCACCAGCAGAAACCAAGCCAAAAAUAGCUUGGGUAUAAAAUGAAUGAUUCUGUUCAUAUGGCUGGGAAAAAUACCAAAGUGGCACACAAACGUGAAAGAUUCACUCAGAAUAAUUUGGUCAUGGGGCCUGGAGCCAUGGACAUGAAGCCUAGCUGUGUGGUGUCUCUCAUCUGUGCUAGGAUCUGACUUGAUGUAUUGCUAUGGACUGAACAUUUGUGUCCUCCCUGCUCCCAAUUCAUAUGCUAAAGCUCUAUCCCCUAGGGUGACUGUAUUUGGGGAUGGGGUCACUAAGGAAGUAAUUAAGGUUAAAUGAGGUCACAAGGGUGGGGCCUUGAUCCAUAGGAUUAGUGUUCUUAUAAGAAGAGACACCAGAGAGGUUUCUUUCUUACAAGGAGAUCAGGUAAGAUCUCAGAGAGACAGCAGUUGCCUAUAAGCCAGAGAAGAGGCCUCAGAAUUAAAUCUACCUUGUUACCAGCCUCCAGAACUAUGAGAAAUAAAUCUCUGUUGAUUAAGCAAUCUAGCCUCUAGUAUUUUUUUGUAGCAGCCCAAGCACACCAAUAUAUAUGUUUUGGCUCCUUUUCCUGUUCUGCAGAUAACCUUCCUCCAUGUGGUCAGGAGAGAUGGUCACUGGAGCUCCAGGCUACAAUGGUCCCGUUUAAUAACUUAGAUGGAAACAGUUCAUUAUCUUCAGAUUGUUUAUACAGUGAGGAUCAUGCUAAUAUCACACACCCACAUCCCACACCAAUCGCUGAUGAUGUAGGGGAAGGAAUGGAGGAUAGAGUAUGAUUGGUCAUGCCUGUUACCAGAAAAAAGAGGGUAAGAAAAGUUCCAGAAUGAACCAAGAAGAGGUAAAGUCAGUAAUGACAGUGCAGCACACCUAGGGAGAAACACCAUUUUGUGCCAUUACAGAGGAGACCCCAGAACCUGGUAUAGUGACUGGUAAUUCUAAUGACUGCCUUUCUAGUUGAUUGACUGAAGGAAGCCCCAAGUUGAACUCUUUUCAUGUUGUGUUUCACUGUGCAGCUUCUUCAAAGGGUAAUAGUUAAUCACUUUUUAAAUUUGUGUUUGAAUGAGUCUUGGUGGGAUUACAUGUAAGAACAGGGUUUUGACUUUCUAACAGAUGCUGAGCUGGAAAGAAUUAUGGAAGUGACUCAGCGUGGACACAAUAGGGGGAAACUUGUUGAGCUUGCCCAAGAAAAGUUCCCUCCUCUGUCCUAAGGUGCAGUGCAUAUCCCAGGAUAUUGGUUAUGCUAAGAAUCUCCUUGCAGAAUGGUCCUGCCCUCCUGGGGAAGGAUGAGCAGGCCCUCUCUGAUAGGAGAAUGAGAUGGGAAAAAUCUGAAAGCCUUUUAUGUCCGAACAGAUCGAAUCCGAAAGCCCAAAUGGAGCAACACCCAAAUUCCAAAAUUGUCCUUGCUACAUUGAAAUAGGAUUAUAAACACCUAAUGAAAACAUUUAAUUGACAAAUACUGUAUGAGUGACUUCUUUGUGUACCAUGCCAUUUAUGUUUAAAAAAAGAUGUUAGCUAAUAUUUUUAUAAUUGUUGUUGACUGGAGAAGCUGAUUACAUGGAGCUCUUGUUGAUUUGCCUAAGCACCCAUAAUCCAAGGAUGUUAGUAGCAUUGCUGGAAAGAACUUGAAACAGUCUUGCCAGUGACUUUUAGCAGUAGCUAGGUCUUCCAAAUUCUCUCUCUCUCUUUUUUUUUUUUAAAACUUAGGAAAGAGGUACUGUAGUUGGAAUGCAGUAUCUAGAAUCAAAUAAUCUGUGGUGGGUUUUUGUAUUCUAGCAUAUUAGUGAUAUGAUUUUGGGAAACUCAUCAGGUCUCUGAAUCUCAGCUUUCCUAUCUGUAAACUAGGAGCAAUAAGAAGUUCUAUGUCUACUGGUUACGGUUAUUUUGAGCAGGGACUUAAAGUCAGUACUUCUGAUUAAGAAAAUGAGAACUUCAAAGCUUUUCUCCUCCUCCUUCACUUUUCCCUUCUUGUCCUCUUUUUUCUUUCAUUAUGGGGUCAAGGAAGACGAAUUGUACAAAAAGUGUUUCUAGGACAUCUCAGCUAUUAGAAUUGGCACAUGAUUUGCACUAUGUGAUAACAGAGCAGUGAUAUUGUCACGGUUUCCAGUGCACGUGACUUUCACCUGUGUGUAGUAAAAGGCAACCUACGAUAUUUAUUUUUCUAAGGUAAAUAUUAGUUCUUUUGAGACAACAUGUUUUGAGUUUGUGACUCUGUCUUGUGGGUUUUAUAAUUUGAGACUGUCAUUUUCAUUGUUUAGUUAAUAACUUAUAAAGGGCAUCAUUAUGAAAGAGUCAAAUCCUAUGAUUAUAAGUUAUACUAAAGGGAAGAGAGCUUCAAUUCUCAUUGAGGGACAGUGGCCAUGACUUGGAUAGGGCCUGCAGUGACCAUCGCUGUUAGCACUGGGGUGCCACAUCAGUAGGGUGUUCAUAUAAUGUAUCAGGAACUGUCCAAGGCAAAUCAGGACACAGUUAAUCAUUUUUAUGAUCUUCUUCAGACUUCACAUCUAUGGAAUGGACACAAGCCUCUUUCUCUUGAGUUUUAAGAAUCUGUAAAUUUAAAAGUUCCAAGUUCCUCAAGAAAAAAUUACAAUGUAAGGCCAGUCUAAUUAGGUAUUAACUCUUUUUCCUCCAAUAUUUGAAGUUUUAGAAAUCCUUCUGAUGGUGCUUCUUUUGAUUUGUUAGAGCAUCUUUUCAUUUCAUGGAUUCAAUAGGUUCUCUUAUCUCUUUAAGGAUACUGAUGACAGUUUUUAAACUUUAUUUUUCCCUGCAAAGUCUACCUUCCUCUAUAUUAUUUUUGUUUAUUUAUUUUAACCUUUUUUUUCCAUUUUAAAGAUUAUUUUUGAUACCUGGUAAUUCUUGGCUGCUUGCUCAUGAUGGGGCUGAAAAGUAAAUCAGAGGCUCCAAGCAGGUGGGGAAUGGAACUUAACUGACUGAGCAUCACACAAGUGGUUAUCCAGUGGAUUGUUUACUGUGGACCCCCGAUGUCAUUUUCUUUAGGUCUUUCCUGUGGGUAGGUCAUGUUCCCAAAGAAUUAUCUCCUAAUCCCCUGUCUGGCUGCCAGAUAAGGGUCUGGCUGUCAAUUUUCCUGGGGAUUGAUACUGGGAAGGAGGCAGGGGGCUCAGUGUUACAUCAUAUCGUAAAUAAUUUACAAAUAUCUGGUACAGUACUUGGGCCCUUAACCAUACUGACCUCAACCCCAGUCCAGAGACCUUUCAUUGUAUGCAGUGAAUAAGCUUGGGGACCUUUGCGAGGUCAGUGAAAAGCAGUUACCCAUUGGUAUGGAGAGGAAGCGGAAGAUCUAGAAUCUAAAUGAUUAUCAAACAGGUUUCACACAGUCCUUUUCCUUAUAGCCUUCCAGACUCCCAGCCUCUAGUUCCAGAAGUAGGUGGUGCUACUUGUUCCUUAGAUUUUUAAGGUUUUGGCAGUAUAAUUUGGCUUUUGGAAGGGAGCAAAAUUGAAUGUAUCUUCAAUCUGCCCUCUUAACCCAGAACACUGUAUCAUGUGAUUUAAUUCUUGCUUUUAUUUCUUUGGACAUAUUAAACAUUCAAUAUAAAUUAUAGUUGACAAUUCUAAUAUCUAGCCUUUUGGAUAUGCUUUUGUUGAUUGUUGUUUCUGUUUACUCUUAUUGACGGCAUCUUUUUAACUGUGAGUUUUUCAGACUUCAUUGUGAGUUCAUGUUACUUGGAACCUUGAAGCUGCUUUGAUAGGUACUUCUUCCAGGGACCUAGGGGUACUCUCACCUUGGGUCUGCUUUAAGUUCUCAAUUUCUGAUUCUUUUGGAUACCUAAGAAGUGUGAGGGCUGGCCCAUGGUUACAAAUUCCUGGCUGGAAUUUGUAACUAACCCUUUUCUAGUGCAUGUGGCCCUUUGGAGAUAUAGCUUCCUAAAGGGGGCCCUAGUUCACUUCUAUACCUGGGAAUAGCCCUCAGGUUAUGCCUUCUGCUCCAAAAAUGUGAAGUUUCUAGAAACAAAGCUCUCAUUCUUGAGACUAGAAUCUGGCAUCAGGACUAAGCUCACCCUUGAGAUAGAUUGAUCUGCAGGGCUAGCUUAUCUUGCUAGAUGCCUGCUCUUGCUUUAUCUCUGGCUUCAGAGGAUCACCCCUACGUUCAUACAUGCUCACUUAGGCACGUAAGAGUUUAUAAGAACUGAGGUUGGGUAUGGUGGCUCACGCCUGUAAUCUCAACACUUUGGGAGGCCAAAGUGGGAGGAUUCCUUGAGCCCAGAAGUUCAAGACCUUUGUGGGCAACAUAUGGAGAUUCUGUCUCUACAAAAGAAAAAAAUUAGCCCAGUGUAAUAGCACGUCUAUAGUGCCAGCUACUUGGUAGGCUGAGGUGGGAGCAUCACUUGAACCUGGGAGGUCAAGACUGCGGGAGCUGUGAUUGUGGCACUGCACUCCAACCUUGGUGGGAGAGUGAGAUCCUGUCUCAAAAAAAUAAAAUAAAAGAAUUGAGUACCUGUUUUCUUUCUGCUCUUCUACAUUGUCAAGUGAAUUAAACAGAGAAAGUUGGCUUUGCCUGAUGGCUCUGCCCACUGCUACCAAGGCGUCCAGGUUUGAGGUCAGCUAUGGGCAAUUUGCCAAGAAAAUCUCCCCACACCCAUCCAUACCCACUGCACCCUGCUGCAGACUCUACGUUUCUCUCCUGCUUAGAAACCUUCUGGGGCUCUCCCUUCCUCUUCAUUGCUCUCUAUUCUCCAUCCUGGCUGCUCUUUUAACAGGUCUUACCUUUGCUCUUCUGUUCUUGCAGUGCCCUCUGCUUAGAACACUGUCACUUGCCCAAUACCCAGAGCCCCUUGGUCCCAAUCGCCCCCUAUCAUUCCCUCUUUGAUCCUGUUCAUGAGGGGUCCUCUACUUGGCAUGUCUUUACUUUACCUUCCCCAUAUGGCUAGUCUUCACUUUACCUGCCCCAUAUAAUAACCUCAGUCGUAUUUAUGGCUUGAUUCUAAAACCACCUUCUCCUUGCAGCAAACCUUGAUCUUCCUUACCAAAGGCAAGCUCUCCCACAACACAUACUUUAAAUUCCACUAACAGCUUUGUACCACUUCUCAGUGAUUAUUUUUGCAUAUAUCUCUUCAGCUUCCACCUGCUGGAGGUAAAAAAAAAAAUUGUACAAGGGAGAUCGACAAAAGUGUAUUUUCUCUAAAAUACUUAGAGGAAUUAGUUAUGUUGAGAUUCAUAAAUAUUUAAUUUAUAUAAAACAUGUCUUUCCUGUUUAAAUUUCUUUUUAGCGUUUUAAAGUGUUUUUGGUGUGUGGUUUUCAGGAUAUCUCACAAGAAACAG
rnacentral:lncRNA from 1 species